AUGAAUCCAGGCAGUGGCACAGAGCAGAAUCCCCCAAGCAUGCCCAAGCUGGCCUUGGGGAAGGAGGAGAAAGAAGGCGCUGGAACUACCCCAGCACAGCAGCCUGAAGAGGUGCAGCAGUUCCAGCAGGAGGGUGAGUCGCAGAGCUGGGCCUCAGGGCUGGUGCCUGCAGCCAGCUUGGCCCCAUGCCAUGCCAUCCCAUCCCAUGCCCUGGGGGCAUGCCAGUGGACAGAACAGAAGAGGGGCCAGGGAAGACACCCCUCAGCUGUGCUCCAUGCCCUGGGGCCUCCUGGGGCUGUCCCUGCCUGGGGAGCAGGGCUGGCCUCUGUUCUGCGGCCUCUCCCGCAGCCCCUCAGCUCGGGCUGCGCUCGCUCUUUGCCAGGUGCAGCCAUGGAGCGCACACGAGAGCAGCACCGCACCCGCGGCCUCUUCCGCUCAACAGCGCAGUUGGUUUGCAAAUUCAUGAAGAGAAUUCGCGAGGAAGAGACCGGCGUCAUGGGCACUGCGCUCAGAGCAUACUCUCCCAUCUUCAAAAGCAAGACCAGUGCUGCCCUGCUGGAUAUGCUUGUGCAGGAAGGUCCUUCCAAUGCAAAGCAAGUAAGCAGCCUGUGGCCUGCCUUCGAUCCUCCCAGGAAUUGCUUGGCCUCUCGAGCCAUGCCUGAUGCUCACUGUAAGCCUCAGAAGGCAUGGGGUGAGGCCAAAGCUCCGCGCCGCUUCUCUGGGCCAGCUGGACACAUGACUCCCUUGGCAACUUCCCAAGUCUCCUGUGCCUUCUGCAGGUGCCCGCCAUGGUGAGGUACAUCCACCAGUGGCUCACGGCCAAUGAGAGGCCUGAGUACAAUGUGUACAGGCCCCUUCUGGACCUGACAGAGGCACAGCCCGCUGACGUGGUGAUGGCUCUCCUGCGUGCGGCCCCAUCGUGUGACAGGUAUGGGGCCCACGUGCCCACAAGGCUCAGGGAUCACCAGCCCAUCACCCUGUACAGCCUGUCCCAGGUGUCUGGGAAACAGAGAAUUCCAGGGGCCCUCUGGCUCCUCCUUUUGCCAGCCUUGGCAUGUCAGCUCCCCGGACCUAGAGCAACGAGCUACUCUUUGAGUUCUGGACGUGCCUGCGAGGUUGGAACUCCCAUUCCUGCCCUCAGACAGGACUGCAUGGGAUCCUCCUUUCCGCAUUUGACUGGCAGCAGCAGCAGGCAUUGGGCCUCCCUAGGACCCCCAUUAAUAAAAAGAGCUGGCAUUUAAUAAAGGCCUUGGCCCACGCUUAUUUACUUCAAUAAGCAACCCCCAGGCAGCCGCCUUGUUGCUGCCACCUGGCUGCUCCGGCGCUUCCCCGGAGAGCCUGCCGCGCCUGCGGCCGAAGGCCUCGA
ensembl:lncRNA